rnacentral:rRNA from 1 species
UUUAGACAUACUAUCUUAUACUAGGAUCCCAUGAGAUCUCCUAAGCUAGGUCAGGUCAGGAUGGAUUACUACUUGGAACAGACACUUCCUAGGACUAUCCAGACCUCUUAUAAAA